UACGAAGGGAGCUAGCGUAAAUCGGAAUUACUGGGCUUAAAGAGUGCGCAGGUGGUUAAAAAAGAUGAAGGUGAAAUCCCAAGGCUCAACCUUGGAACGGCCUUCUUAACUUUUUAGCUAGAGUGUGAUAGAGGAAAGCGGAAUUUCUAGUGUAGAGGUGAAAUGCGUAGAUAUGAGAAAGAACACCAAAAGCGAAGGCAGCUUCCCUGGACCAUUACUGACACUGAUGAACGAAAGCAUGGGUAGCGAACAGGAUUAGAUACCCUCGUAGUCCAUGCCCUAAACGAUGUGUGCUAGAUGUUGGAAACUUAGUUUUCAUAGACGCAACGAAAGCAUUAAGCACACCGGCUGGGGAGAACCACCGCGAGGAUAAAACUCUAAUGAAUUGACGGGGCGCCGCACAAGUAGAGGAGCAUGUGGUGUAAUUCGAAGAUACGCGCAGAGCCUUACCAUCACUUGCCAUGUUAGUUGCGAGAUCAAGAGAUGGGUUUGUUCAUUCAGCAGGACGAAACGCAGGCAGUGCAUGCCUGUCGUCAGUUAGCGUCGUGAGAUGGAGGGUUAAGUAACUCACCGAGCGCACGCCCUCCCUUUCGUUACCACCAUUUAGUUGGCCACUUUAAAGGACCUCCCAGUGCUAAGCGGGAGGAAGGUGGGGAGGACGCCAAGUCUUCAUGGCCCUUACGUUAUGGGCUCCCCACUCAUUCCAAUGUGCAUUUCCAAUGGGAAGGUAAGCCCGGAGUGCAAGCUAUUCCCAAAAAGAGAUCUCAGUUCGGAUUGCACUCUGUAACUCGAGUGCAUGAAGUUGGAAUUACUAGUAAUCGCGGAUCAGCACGUCGCGGUGAAUACGUUCCCGGGUCU
rnacentral:rRNA from 1 species